AGAGUUUGAUCCUGGCUCAGGAUGAAUGCUGGCGGUAGGCCUUACACAUGCAAGUCGAGCGGUGAAGAAUUUGUAGCAAUACAAAUUUGGAUCAGCGGCGAACGGGUGAGUAACGGGUAAGUACUUCCUUUUAGUUUUGUAUAGCCAAUCGAAAGGUUGGGUAAUUCAAAAUGUGGUCGAGAGACUAAAGAUUUAUCGCUAAAAGCAAGGCUUGCCUCCCAUCAGGUAGUUGGCAGUGUAAUAGACUACCAAGCCUAAGACGGGUAGCUGGUCUGAGAGGACGAUCAGCCACACUGGGACUGGGACACGGCCCAGACACCUACGGGUGGCAGCAGUGGGGAAUUUUCGGCAAUGGGCGAAAGCCUGACCGAGCCAUACCGCGUGGAGGAUGAAGGCCCUUGGGUUGUAAACUCCUGUGGAGAGUCACUAAUUUUGAAGAGCUCUCUAGAAAGUGGUUGCUAACUCUGUGCCAGCAGCAGCGGUGAUACAGAGACCACGAGCAUUAUCCGGUUUCACUGGGCGUAAAGCGUUCCGAUAGGUUGUUUAGUGUGUCUAGGGUUAAAAACCGCAGCUCAACUGCGUGUUCGCUCUAGAAACUGCUAAACUAGAGAAGUCAAGAGGUAGCUGGAACUCUACAAGUAGGGGUGAAAUCCGUUGAUAUGUAGGGGAACACCAAAAGCGAAGGCAAGCUACUAGGGACUUUCUGACACUGCUAGGACGAAAGCGUGGGUAGCGAUACGGAUUAGAUACCCGUGUAGUCCACGCCCUAAACGAUGAGUGUUUGCUAUUGGGUCAAAUCAAUCUGACUCAGUGGCGAAAGGUAACCCUUUAAACACUCCGCCUGUAUAGUACGGCCGCAAGGCUAAAACUCAAAGGAAUUGACGGG
rnacentral:rRNA from 1 species